rnacentral:rRNA from 1 species
GACGAACCGUGCGAACGUUGUUCGGAAUCACUGGGCUUAAAGGGCGCGUAGGCGGGCAAGCAAGUCCGGGGUGAAAGCCCCCAGCUCAACUGGGGAAGUGCCUUGGAAACUGCUUGUCUAGAGGGAGGUAGGGGCAUGUGGAACUUCGGGUGGAGCGGUGAAAUGCGUUGAUAUCCGAAGGAACGCCGGUGGCGAAGGCGGGUCUCUGGACAGUUCCUGACGCUGAGGCACGAAGGCCAGGGGAGCAAACGGG